GGGGAUUUAGCUCAGCGGUAGAGCGCUUGCCUAGCGAGCGCAAGGCCCUGGGUUCGGUCCCCAGCUCCCCCC
rnacentral:tRNA from 1 species